GACGAACGCUGGCGGCGUGCCUAAUACAUGCAAGUUGAGCGCUGAAGGUUGGUCCUUGUACCAACUGGAUGAGCAGCGAACGGGUGAGUAACGCGUGGGGAAUCUGCCUUUGAGCGGGGGACAACAUUUGGAAACGAAUGCUAAUACCGCAUAAAAACUUUAAACACAAGUUUUAAGUUUGAAAGAUGCAAUUGCAUCACUCAAAGAUGAUCCCGCGUUGUAUUAGCUAGUUGGUGAGGUAAAGGCUCACCAAGGCGAUGAUACAUAGCCGACCUGAGAGGGUGAUUGGCCACAUUGGGACUGAGACACGGCCCAAACUCCUACGGGAGGCAGCAGUAGGGAAUAUUCGGCAAUGGACGAAAGUCUGACCGAGCAACGCCGCGUGAGUGAAGAAGGUUAUCGGAUCGUAAAAAUCUGUUGGUAGAGAAGAACGUUGGUGAGAGUGGAAAGCUCAUCAAGUGACGGUAACUACCCAGAAAGGGACGGCUAACUACGUG
rnacentral:rRNA from 1 species